UGCAGUCGAGCGGUAACAGAAAGUAGCUUGCUACUUUGCUGACGAGCGGCGGACGGGUGAGUAAUGCUUGGGAACAUGCCUUGAGGUGGGGGACAACAGUUGGAAACGACUGCUAAUACCGCAUAAUGUCUACGGACCAAAGGGGGCUUCGGCUCUCGCCUUUAGAUUGGCCCAAGUGGGAUUAGCUAGUUGGUGAGGUAAUGGCUCACCAAGGCAACGAUCCCUAGCUGGUUUGAGAGGAUGAUCAGCCACACUGGAACUGAGACACGGUCCAGACUCCUACGGGAGGCAGCAGUGGGGAAUAUUGCACAAUGGGCGAAAGCCUGAUGCAGCCAUGCCGCGUGUGUGAAGAAGGCCUUCGGGUUGUAAAGCACUUUCAGUCAGGAGGAAAGGGUGUGAGUUAAUACCUCACAUCUGUGACGUUACUGACAGAAGAAGCACCGGCUAACUCCGUGCCAGCAGCCGCGGUAAUACGGAGGGUGCGAGCGUUAAUCGGAAUUACUGGGCGUAAAGCGUACGCAGGCGGUUUGUUAAGCGAGAUGUGAAAGCCCCGGGCUCAACCUGGGAACUGCAUUUCGAACUGGCAAACUAGAGUGUGAUAGAGGGUGGUAGAAUUUCAGGUGUAGCGGUGAAAUGCGUAGAGAUCUGAAGGAAUACCGAUGGCGAAGGCAGCCACCUGGGUCAACACUGACGCUCAUGUACGAAAGCGUGGGGAGCAAACGGGAUUAGAUACCCCGGUAGUCCACGCCGUAAACGAUGUCUACUAGAAGCUCGGAACCUCGGUUCUGUUUUUCAAAGCUAACGCAUUAA
rnacentral:rRNA from 1 species